GACCACGAUCCAACCCUAAAUACUAAUACCAGAUCGAUAGUGCACAAGUACCGUGAGGGAAAGGUGAAAAGAACUGAGGUGAUCAGAGUGAAAUAGAACCUGAAACCAUUUGCUUACAAUCAUUCAGAGCCCUAUGUAGCAAUACAGGGUGAUGGACUGCCUUUUGCAUAAUGAGCCUGCGAGUUGUGGUGUCUGGCAAGGUUAAGCAAACGCGAAGCCGUAGCGAAAGCGAGUCUGAAUAGGGCGCUUAGUCAGAUGCUGCAGACCCGAAACGAAGUGAUCUAUCCAUGAGCAAGUUGAAGCUAGUGUAAGAACUAGUGGAGGACUGAACCCAUAGGCGUUGAAAAGCCCCGGGAUGACUUGUGGAUAGGGGUGAAAGGCCAAUCAAACUUCGUGAUAGCUGGUUCUCUCCGAAAUAUAUUUAGGUAUAGCGUUGUGUCGUAAUAUAAGGGGGUAGAGCACUGAAUGGGCUAGGGCAUACACCAAUGUACCAAACCCUAUCAAACUCCGAAUACCUUAUAUGUAAUCACAGCAGUCAGGCGGCGAGUGAUAAAAUCCGUCGUCAAGAGGGAAACAACCCAGACUACCAGCUAAGGUCCCUAAAUCUUACUUAAGUGGAAAACGAUGUGAAGUUACUUAAACAACCAGGAGGUUGGCUUAGAAGCAGCCAUCCUUUAAAGAAAGCGUAAUAGCUCACUGGUCUAGUGAUUUUGCGCGGAAAAUAUAACGGGGCUAAAGUAAGUACCGAAGCUGUAGACUUGCACACAACUUAGAUUAUUUAAGUUUAGAAUAUGAGAAACUAAGUUAUAUGUUUAGUUAUAUUUUUACUGAUUUUUAUAGAGUAAAGAUAGAAAUAAAACUUAGUAAAAUCAGUAAAAAUAUUCUUAGACUAAAGUUAAGUAGUUUAAGUUGUGUGCAAGUGGUAGGAGAGCGUUCUAUUUGCGUCGAAGGUAUACCGGUAAGGAGUGCUGGAGCGAAUAGAAGUGAGCAUGCAGGCAUGAGUAGCGAUAAUUAAUGUGAGAAUCAUUAACGCCGUAAACCCAAGGUUUCCUACGCGAUGCUCGUCAUCGUAGGGUUAGUCGGGUCCUAAGUCGAGUCCGAAAGGGGUAGACGAUGGCAAAUUGGUUAAUAUUCCAAUACCAACAUUAGUGUGCGAUGGAAGGACGCUUAGGGCUAAGGGGGCUAGCGGAUGGAAGUGCUAGUCUAAGGUCGUAGGAGGUUAUACAGGCAAAUCCGUAUAACAAUACUCCGAGAACUGAAAGGCUUUUUGAAGUCUUCGGAUGGAUAGAAGAACCCCUGAUGCCGUCGAGCCAAGAAAAGUUUCUAAGUUUAGCUAAUGUUGCCCGUACCGUAAACCGACACAGGUGGGUGGGAUGAGUAUUCUAAGGCGCGUGGAAGAACUCUCUUUAAGGAACUCUGCAAAAUAGCACCGUAUCUUCGGUAUAAGGUGUGGUUAGCUUUGUAUUAGGAUUUACUCCGAAAGCAAGGAAACUUACAACAAAGAGUCCCUCCCGACUGUUUACCAAAAACACAGCACUCUGCUAACUCGUAAGAGGAUGUAUAGGGUGUGACGCCUGCCCGGUGCUCGAAGGUUAAUUGAUGGGGUUAGCAUUAGCGAAGCUCUUGAUCGAAGCCCGAGUAAACGGCGGCCGUAACUAUAACGGUCCUAAGGUAGCGAAAUUCCUUGUCGGUUAAAUACCGACCUGCAUGAAUGGCGUAACGAGAUGGGAGCUGUCUCAAAGAGGGAUCCAGUGAAAUUGUAGUGGAGGUGAAAAUUCC
rnacentral:rRNA from 1 species